rnacentral:rRNA from 1 species
GACGAACGCUGGCGGCGUGCUUAACACAUGCAAGUCGAACGGAAAGGCCCCUUUGGGGGUACUCGAGUGGCGAACGGGGGAGUAACACGUGAGUAACCUGCCCUUGACUUCGGGAUAACUUCAGGAAACUGGGGCUAAUACCGGAAAGGAAUCCUUGCUUCAUGGUGGGGGUUGGAAAGCUUCGGCGGUUUUGGAUGGACUCGCGGCAUAUCAGCUUGUUGGUGGGGUAGUGGCUUACCAAGGCUGUGACGGGUAGCCGGCCUGAGAGGGCGACCGGCCACAUUGGGACUGAGAUACGGCCCAGACUCCUACGGGAGGCAGCAGUGGGGAAUAUUGCACAAUGGGCGGAAGCCUGAUGCAGCAACGCCGCGUGCGGGAUGACGGCCUUCGGGUUGUAAACCGCUUUCAGCAGGGGCGAAGCUUGUGGUGACGGUACCUGCAGAAGAAGCACCGGCUAACUACGUG